GUGGCUGCCAGCGCCCUGCUUGCCGGCGGCGCCAUGGCCCAGGAGGUGCUCCUGGGCGCCAACGGAGGCGUGCUCGUCUUCGAGCCCAGCGAGUUCUCCGUCAAGGCCGGCGACACCAUCACCUUCAAGAACAACGCCGGCUACCCGCACAACGUGGUCUUCGACGAGGACGAGGUGCCCAGCGGGGUGGACGCCGCCAAGAUCUCGCAGGAGGAGUACCUCAACGCGCCGGGGGAGACCUACUCCGUCACCCUCACCGUGCCGGGAACCUACAGCUUCUACUGCGAGCCGCACCAAGGAGCAGGGAUGGUCGGCAAGGUCACCGUCAACUAAGCAAUCCAUUGUUCGUUCAUCAUCCAGGAUACUGUACUACUGUACCAUGAGAAGCGAGAGCUUGAGCCUAGCUUGCCAUCUCCAAUAUGAUUCUCCUCCAUCCUCGAUCCAUCGUCUCUUGGCAUUUGCUGCUGCCAUGUACUAAAUCGCAU
rnacentral:lncRNA from 1 species